UACAGGCGUGAGCCACAGCGCCCACCCUACAGAGAGGAAAUUUUAAGGAAAUGUCUGCUUUGAAUACUCAAUAAAAUAUAAGACAAAACCAAAAAUGAUACAGUGUGCUGAAAUUCUGACAGCAAUGAUAAAAGAAUUUUCAAGGAACUGAAAUCCAGUGACAAAAAUGAAAUCGAUCAAGGCUGUAGUUGCACACCUGAGACAUUCCUCGAGAAGGCAGAGGAGAAAGGUGUGAAAAACAGUGAACCAGAGAAGGAUGGCCAGGGACAACAAAGAUUGGAGCUCGGAAGUUGAAUGACAGAUAUUCUGGAGAAACACACCAGAGAUGACAAAAGGUGGAGGAGUGCUCUGUUUACCAGGCUGGAGAACAGUGGUGCAGUCUUGGCUCACUACAACCUCCAUCUCCCAGGUUCAAGUUAUUCUCCUGCCUCAGCCUCCUGAGUAGCUGGGAUUGCAGGUCCCCUUUUCUUGGACAUUUAGGUUGGUUCCAAUUUUUAUAUCAUCAUAAACCAGCAAUUAGCAUGCUUUUUCUGUAAAGAGCUAGGUGGUAUUUGUUCUGGCCUUUGCAGAUCACAAGUUCUCUCUUAGAACUACUGAGCUCUGCCAUUACGGCAAAAAACCAGCCACAGACAAUGCAUAUAUGAAUGCACAUGGCUGUGUUUCAAUCAGACUUUAUUUAGAAAAACAGGUGGUGGCCAGAUCUGGCCUGUGAGCCAUGGCAUGGUUCACUGAACCAACUCUAUAAACAUUGUGUGGUACAUCUUUUUGAAGCCAAACUUUCCUAGUAUGAAAUGAUCAUUUUCUUGUGACAAUGAUUUUAUACUGUUUCUUUUUAGAAGUAGGACCCUUCUUUGAAUGAAACUUAGUAAGAUUCAUAUAAGUAACAGGACCUUCCAGGUCUGAGCUGAGGUGUCAUCUCUGAACACCAGGCUGCUGCACUAACCAGAAGACCCCUCCCCACCUGCAGUGGCCUCGCUGCAUCGUAAGGAUGGAGGAGCUGUUGUCUCCACAGCUGACAGGACAAGAAGUAUGAGCAACGGCACAGACACCAGGAUGACUAAAAGAAAAAAAAAAAAAAAACCUAGGGUAAUGUUUGUUCUGUAUUUGUAUCUAGGACAAAGGCAAUAUCAUCAAUAACUUCUGCCAGAGUCUAGAAACUGAGAAAAUCAAGAUAAAGACGCCAGCAGACUCGAGGCCAGGUGUGAUAGCUCAUGCCUGUAAUCCCAGAACUUUGGGAUGCAAAUUGUAUUGUAUCAAUCAUUCAAGGACAGCUUGUAGGACUUUGAAGACCCAAGCAGCCAAAAAAUAGCUAAUUCCUCCUUAUUUCAGUUGGUAUGAAGAGAAGGUUACUAAUAAUGCUGCUCUUCCAGCACAAGUCUUCUGGGCUGUCAGUGAGCUUGGUCAGUGGGAACCACAGGAAAUUAUGAGUUAUGUUUGUUAUAUAUGAGAGGAAAAUUGAGGCUACCAGUCUUGUCACAGGGUUUAUAGAUAAUUGCCUU
rnacentral:lncRNA from 1 species